rnacentral:tRNA from 1 species
GUCCCUGCAGGGCAAUGGAUAGUGUGUUGGACUUUUAAUCCAAAGGUCGUGGGUUUGAAUCCCACCUGGAAUA